AUACGUAGGUGACAAGCGUUGUCCGGAAUGACUGGGCGUAAAGGGCGCGUAGGCGGUCUAUUAAGUCUGAUGUGAAAGGUACCGGCUCAACCGGUGAAGUGCAUUGGAAACUGGUAGACUUGAGUAUUGGAGAGGCAAGUGGAAUUCCUAGGGUAGCGGUGAAAUGCGUAGAUAUUAGGAGGAACACCAGUGGCGAAGGCGGCUUGCUGGACAAAUACUGACGCUGAGGUGCGAAAGCGUGGGGAGCGAACAGGAUUAGAUACCCUGGUAGUCCACGCCGUAAACGAUGAAUGCUAGGUGUUGGGGAAACUCAGUGCCGCAGUUAACACAAUAAGCAUUCCGCCUGGGGAGUACGACCGCAAGGUUGAAACUCAAAUGAAUUGGCGGGG
rnacentral:rRNA from 1 species